ACCAAUAAAGAUUUACUAGCAGAACCAAUGGCUUGAGUUUGCACAUUCCAUAUCCUGUGUCCACAUAAAAAGAGAAAUCUCUGAAUAACAUCAGAGUCUUAUGAGGGAGACAGGGUACUGAAUAGAUUAAGACUCUAAAUACCACGACAGCACGUCUACCCAGAGUCCCCAGAUGUGGAGACUAGGGAACUGACGUGUUCAUCCUCUUGACCAAGACCUAUCAGAUAGAAUGAGGAAGAGGAUGAAGAGGAGCUAUAGGGGCAGUAGACUCCCGAAUCCCAUUCUGCUGUGUGUCAGGCACUAUUUAAAUGCUGUUUAGAACAAUGGAAAUUGAUGGAUUUGUUUUUACAACAAGCCCAAGAAGUAGGUGCUAUUAUGACAGUUAAGAAAGAGAGAUACACAGAGCUACCGUUACCUUACACCAAAGCUCAGAUUGAAGCUCCUGGAGAUGGGAUUUGUCGUCAGGAAAUCCUGCAGCUCUGGAGUGCAUGGCCUUAGCCACUCUAAAUUGGUUAACCUGAAUGACACCAAAGAUCCUAGCUUAACUAUGAGCCAGGUCAGUGGCCCUUUACAGUAUCUAUUCUUUCUGUUGGGGGUAAUUUUCUUCCCUCUUUAGGCCUCGCAGAUCAUCACCUUAUGUGGACUUGAAAUGACUCGGGGGCUUCCUCAGAACCAAGGCAUUUGUCUUAGAUUGGCAGCUCUGUUUGAGGAACUACAUAUAAUGACAAGUCUGUAGAGUCUCUAGUUUUUCUUAUGCUUCUUUGUGAUUCUAUCUUGCUGUCAUCGCAAUCCUGUGGUGAUGAAAGAAAUAGCAGUCCGGGUUGAGAGUGUAUGUGGCUGAUAAAUAAGGGACAUUGACAGAGAGGAAAGACACCACCUGAAAGAGAACUUCACUCUGUUUGAUCAAGACAUCAAGAUAACCACUAAAUGAAUUCUCUUUGAACAUAUUUUCAUUUUUGUUUUAUCAUGUUUAUUCAAAGAGCAGAGGAUGAUUUGAGAAGCCACUUCUGCAGAGCA
rnacentral:lncRNA from 1 species